rnacentral:rRNA from 1 species
UACGUAGGAGGCAAGCGUUGUCCGGAAUUACUGGGCGUAAAGCGCGUGUAGGUGGUGGGACAAGUCUGCUGUGAAAGCGCCUGGCUUAACCGGGCGAGGUCGGCGGAAACUGCCUCACUGGAGGACGGUAGAGGGGGGUGGAAUUCCCGGUGUAGUGGUGAAAUGCGUAGAGAUCGGGAGGAACACCUGUGGCGAAGGCGGCCCCCCUGGGCCGGCCCUGACACUGAGACGCGAAGGCGUGGGGAGCGAACGGG